UACGAAGGGGGGCUAGCGUUACUCGGAAUUACUGGGCGUAAAGGGCGCGUAGGCGGCGCUCCAAGUUAGGCGUGAAAGUCCUGGGCUCAACCUGGGAACUGCGCUUGAUACUGGAGUGCUUGAGGAUGGAAGAGGGUCGUGGAAUUCCCAGUGUAGAGGUGAAAUUCGUAGAUAUCGAGAGGAACACCGGUGGCGAAGGCGGCCAACUGGACGAAUACUGACGCUGAGACUCGAAAGCGUGGGGAGCAAACAGGAUUA
rnacentral:rRNA from 1 species